UACGGAGGGUGCAAGCGUUAUCCGGAUUCACUGGGUUUAAAGGGUGCGUAGGCGGGUAUAUAAGUCAGUGGUGAAAGCUCCGGGCUUAACUUGGAAACUGCCAUUGAUACUGUAUAUCUUGAAUGUCGUUGAGGUAAGCGGAAUGUUGCAUGUAGCGGUGAAAUGCUUGGAUAUGUUACAGAACACCAAUUGUGAAGACAGCUUACUAAGCGAUGAUUGACGCUGAGGCACGAAAGCGUGGGGAGCAAACAGG
rnacentral:rRNA from 1 species